CUGAGGUGAGUACAGGGGGGUCACCGUCCAACACGCCAGCUCUCAAACAGGCUCAAAAGAAGGCACACAGGUUGCAUUCAACUAAAGCGACAAGUGACGGUAACUUUCGUGGUCUCCUCGUGAUCAGUGCGGUCCGGGAGACUGAACCCAGUGCCAGUGCUUCAUCUGUGCCGUUACCAUGGCAAUGGAGGCAGAUUCUCUGAGCUCCCCCGGGAGCCCGGUGUCCCGGGAUGACCCGGGCCUGUGGAUGACGCUGGACCUCCACCCUGACCCUCGACCCCCCCGUCCGACCUCCGCCCAGACACAUGGAUCGGACCUGGGGGCCGGUGCUGCCUCUGGCGCCGCCGGUGUAGAGGCUCAGGUCUACGUCUUCCUGCCUCCUCCACGACGGUGCACUGCACCACCACCACCACCAGGAGAAGCUACGCCACCGACUCACACCCCUGCCCAUGAUCCUUGCGUGAGCUGUCCCGCUGGAGGGACAGGUGAGGUCACGCAGGCUAAGGGAAAUCCUGCCGGCUUAGGGAGGCGCCCUGCCGAGAGACAGACGGUGGCUGAGCACAGCGAGGUCACGGACGAGGAAACAGGCAGCGAGAGAGAGAGGAACCGGGACCCAGAAGAUCAACAGCAGCCAGGGGAUAUGGAAACCGAAACCGCCUGUGAAGAGAAGGACGCCAAUACGGCACAACACAUUGAAAGCCUGAUUAUGGCGGGCGGAGUCGAAACCCUGGCGCAAACGAGCAGCGAUGCAUCAGAGCAACCGCGCAGUCCCGACACGUCGAAGGACCCUGAAGAGGGAUCUGGGAGCCAUUCUGGUCGGAUGGGGGUAACUAUCUCCACUGAGGAAUACAAGGCCUCGACCUCCCCCCCUUCAGACCUGGAGGACGGUCGAGAGGUAGAGGAGUGCGGCACCCUGUUACCUUCAGGGCAGAACAAAUCUCUUCCCCCGGAGAUUACAUCUCCGGGGGAAAGUGAGGACACCUCUUCUGUCUCUGCUGGCACAAACGCUCUCAGCCCAUCAAAUGGGGGACUUGACUGCCUUGCUUCAGAUGUGACAGACCUAACAGACAUUGAGUCCGCUCAGGAAGACAACCGUCAUCCAGAAAACAUCAUGGAGGUACCAGAUAUUGUCGAACCGCUGGACAGUGACACGGUGAAGGAACAGUUGGGAGUCAGGAGGCAGAGUGACAACCUGCCAUCCCUUUCCACCCACCUCGCUGUCGAGUCCUCCGCCGACCAACACACUGAGCUCCUGCUCCCCACGCCGGAACCUGGCCGCCGACAGAGUCAGAGCGACGGGAGCGAGGCCAUCUCCUACGUGAUCCAGCAGGGGGAACUGCUGCUUCAGCGGCUGCAGUACGUCCAGGACAGACAGGACACGCAGCCGCCCACCACACCGCCCGCCGGGGUCUCAGCCAAUCAGACGGCUGAUGAAGGAGAGGAAGGGGAGCUGGAGAGCGGUGCAGCGUGGAGUGAGGGGGAGAGUUUGGGAGCGGGGGAGGAGGGCGGGGCUUAUGAAGUCGAACUAAGGGUGGAGCACAGAUCAACCCUGGUGGGAGAGGAUGAAGAGUGUGGACGGACCGAGGGACAGGGAGAGAUCGAAAGGACUGAAGAGGGUGUUAUCAAAGAGGGGUUGGUAGCGAUACCGGUGGAUCCCACCCUAGCCCCCCGCCCUCACCUCGGGGUCCCACGGUUAGAGAACAUCCCAAGCGAUCAUCAGAGUGACACCGGGGUCUCGGCGGACGUCUCCCCGACGCAUGCGCAGGAGGCACCGACCCUCACCGAGACCCCCGUUGUGGAGAUCAACCCCGAUGUGCUGGAGAUUCCCUUCAAGACCCCUAUCCUCCUCAAAGAGCUGCAGGGCGGAGAAACCGGCACGGCCAGGUGCCUGACCCGGCAGCUCUCGGAGAAGAAGAUGCAGAAGGAGAUCAGCCAGGAGCGGCAGAGGGAGCUGGUGCUGGUCAACCAGGGCACCAUCCCCGGGGAGUACCGCAAGGAGGGGACCCGGCAACUGAAGGAGACCAAGAAGCUCUUCGAGGGCCUCCUGCAGGGCUCCGCCGAGGGGGCGGUCAGGCUCAGUAAAACCACCUUCACAGACCCCGUCUACCCCUCGGUUCUGGAGCGCACCCGCAGCAUGGAGAUGCUGUCUCUGCGGGGCCAGCCGGUCUGCCGGACCCAGUCCCUCAGGGUACCCCGAUCCGAGGCCACCAACGGGGGGUGGAGAAGGGAGAGGUGCCGGUCCCGGAGCCCUGUCGCAGGGCCCUACCACAGGCUCGAGCACAAUCUGCGCCAUCACAGGAGCAUGGACUCUCUGAGCGUUGAGGCCCUGGCGUCCAAGCAGGGGAGCCGGAACACGGCUAAAAAGCUGCAGCCCUUUCUGGGGGCGAACCCGUUCGUCAAGCUGCGGCCUGCGCUGGCCCGCCAGCCGGAGGUCCAGAAGGACAUCCAGGAGUCCAGGGAGCGAGAGGAGGAGCUGCGCAGACAGAGGUGUGCCCUGUACGGAGAGAGCAUGGAGCCCCAGGAGGACGAGGACCCAGCAGCACCCACAGACAGCAGCACAGCAGCAGUGCAAUCUGUGUGGCCCUGUGUGCGUUCCCUCAGAUCCCAGGCAGCAGUCCAAGGGGAAAUUGGACCGGAUUUGGCCGCCACCGCCCAGGGCAGGCGGGCCGAGCUCUGGCCAGACACAGGGGCCCCGGGCUUCCAGACCGGGGGGUCAUGUGACCGGGCUGUCCCAGCGCUGGGAAGCGGCCAGUCGCCCCAGUACAGACCAGUCGUAAUCAUUGACCAGAUGACCUUUGACCUCUGAAAGGACCACGGCAACCUUGCUGCACCGACCGAUGUGGACGACCUGAUUUCUGAAACACAUCAAACUCUGUUGUCAUGACGAUGCGUUCCGUAAUGUCAACGGUGUUGUCAUGGCGUUCCUGUUCCAUUCCGUUCUCUUGAGUAGCUUUGUUCAUCUUAUUUUGCUCUCAACUGUGUUCUCUAGAUCCCAUUCAGACAGGCUUUGGAUUAAAUGUAUACUCAUAAAGUUUGUAUAAAUCCCUAUUUUAUAGCUCAAAUUGACAUGCAAGUAAAGAAAUAUCAUGAGUACAUCUGGAAUCUUUUCUUCUCAUUUCCUUGUUCAACGUUGGGUAAAUCACAUGGU
ensembl:lncRNA